rnacentral:rRNA from 1 species
AACGAACGCUGGCGGCAUGCUUAACACAUGCAAGUUGAACGCAGGAUAGGACUUCGGUUCUAUUGCUGAGUAGCAAACGGGUGAGUAACGCGUGGGAAUCUACCUUCUUGUGGGGGAUAACUGAGGGAAACUUCAGCUAAUACCGCAUAAGCUCUACGGAGGAAAGGCUUCGGCCGCAAGAAGAGGAGCCCGCGUCAGAUUAGGUAGUUGGUAGGGUAGAAGCCUACCAAGCCAAUGAUCUGUAGCUGGUCUGAGAGGAUGAUCAGCCACACUGGGACUGAGACACGGCCCAGACUCCUACGGGAGGCAGCAGUGGGGAAUAUUGGACAAUGGGGGAAACCCUGAUCCAGCAAUGCCGCGUGAAUGAAGAAGGCCUUAGGGUUGUAAAGUUCUUUCACCUGUGAAGAUUAUGACGGUAGCAGGAGAAGAAGCCCCGGCUAACUCCGUGCCAGCAGCCGCCGUAA